rnacentral:rRNA from 1 species
GUCUAUGACCAUACCAGCCUGAAUGCACCCAAUCUCAUCUGAUCUCGAAAGCUAAGCAGGGUCAGGCCUGGUUAGUACUUUGAUGGGAGAAACAGGGUUUCCCUAUGUU